rfam:Stegodyphus mimosarum contig46905, whole genome shotgun sequence.
ACCUUCGUGAUGUAAUGGUGAGCAAACUCGGUGUGUAUUCGAGAGGUCCGAGGUUCGAGUCCCGGCGAGGGCA